UACGUAGGUGGCAAGCGUUGUCCGGAUUUACUGGGCGUAAAGCGCACGCAGGCGGACCUUUAAGUAGGAAGUGAAAGGUUGGAGCUCAACUCUAACACUGCUCCCUAUACUGGAGGUCUUGAGUGCCGGAGAGGAAGAUGGAACUACACGUGUAGCGGUGAAAUGCGUUGAUAUGUGUAGGAACACCAAUGGCGAAAGCAAUCUUCUGGACGGAAACUGACGCUGAGGUGCGAAAGCUAAGGGAGCGAACAGG
rnacentral:rRNA from 1 species